rnacentral:rRNA from 1 species
UACGGAGGGUGCAAGCGUUAUCCGGACUCACAGGGUUUAAAGGGUGCGUAGGCGGCUAGAUAAGUCAGAGGUGAAAGUUUGUCGCUUAACGAUAGAACUGCCUUUGAUACUGUUAAGCUUGAAAUUAGGUGAGGUUGGCGGAAUGUGACAUGUAGCGGUGAAAUGCAUAGAUAUGUCAUAGAACACCGAUUGCGAAGGCAGCUGGCUAACCUGGCAUUGACGCUGAGGCGCGAAAGCGUGGGUAGCGAACAGG